CUUUCAGGUUGUUUAAUUAUUUUAUACCGAACACGUUGGCGUUAUAUGGAAAAGAGGCAUAUAUAUGAUUCUUUGCGUAUUUGCAGUGCCGUGACUGCAGAGAGGUAAAAGAUAAAUCCAGAGAAGAUAAAAAGGAAAGGACAGAGGAUGCCCAGGAAAAUGAUGCUUAGAUGGUUACAGUUGCAGUGUACAGGUGGGAGCUAAACUGAAGCUUGCUGGUUGUGACGUGUCAGCCAUAAACUUGUAUUAUGACCAUUGUUUAUCCGG